ACUGCCUCUAGAUGUAUUGCCAGUAUGGCUCUUGUGUUCCAUGUAAGUUGCAGAGAGGAGGCAGGCUGUGUCUACACACUCAGUAUUCUGACCUGUGAACAUCUGAAUGCUUAGUAGCCCAAUACU